GAACUACUGAAGAGUUCAAUAAUAGAAUGAAAUGGCCGUCCAGUGC
rnacentral:hammerhead_ribozyme from 1 species